AUAGCUUCUCAGCCUUUUGGCUAAGAUCAAGUGUAGAAAAUACUCGGCCUGUUAAAAUUCAAGCAAGUUGCAUGCUUUUUCAAAUGUUUUGACAUAAGUUUUGACAUAAGUUUUGACAAUUUUCAAACAUUUUAAAAAGAAACUAUAUCAAGUUGCAUAACCUUUGUCACUCAAGUUAAGUCAGC